GACGAACGCUGGCGGCGUGCUUAACACAUGCAAGUCGAACGGAAAGGCCCUGCUUUUGUGGGGUGCUCGAGUGGCGAACGGGUGAGUAACAAGUGAGUAACCUGCCCUUGACUUUGGGAUAACUUCAGGAAACUGGGGCUAAUACCGGAUAGGAGCUCCUGCUGCAUGGUGGGGGUUGGAAAGCUUCGGCGGUUGGGGAUGGACUCGCGGCUUAUCAGCUUGUUGGUGGGGUAGUGGCUUACCAAGGCUUUGACGGGUAGCCGGCCUGAGAGGGUGACCGGCCACAUUGGGACUGAGAUACGGCCCAGACUCCUACGGGAGGCAGCAGUGGGGAAUAUUGCACAAUGGGCGGAAGCCUGAUGCAGCAACGCCGCGUGCGGGAUGACGGCCUUCGGGUUGUAAACCGCUUUCGCCUGUGACGAAGCGUGAGUGACGGUAAUGGGUAAAGAAGCACCGGCUAACUACGUG
rnacentral:rRNA from 1 species